rnacentral:tRNA from 1 species
GCCGAAGUGGUGAAACUGGUAGACACGCUGUGUUCAGGGCGCAGUGUCCUUGCGGGCGUGGGGGUUCGAAUCCCCCCUUCGGCA